CGGUGAUAGCAAUAUCAUAGCGGCGCACGGGUGCGUAACGCGUAUGCAACCUACCUUAUACUGAGGGAUAGCCUUUCGAAAGGGAGAUUAAUACCUCAUAACACAUUGAACUGGCAUCAGUUUAUUGUUAAAGAUUUAUUGGUAUAAGAUGGGCAUGCGUCCAAUUAGUUAGUUGGCGAGGUAACGGCUCACCAAGACGAUGAUUGGUAGGGGAACUGAGAGGUUAAUCCCCCACACUGGCACUGAGAUACGGGCCAGACUCCUACGGGAGGCAGCAGUAGGGAAUAUUGGGCAAUGGAGGCAACUCUGACCCAGCCAUGCCGCGUGCAGGAAGAAGGCGUUAUGCGUUGUAAACUGCUUUUAUAUAGGAAGAAAUAGACCUUGCGAGGUAAGUUGACGGUACUAUAUGAAUAAGCACCGGCUAACUCCGUGCCAGCAGCCGCGGUAAUACGGAGGGUGCAAGCGUUGUCCGGAUUUAUUGGGUUUAAAGGGUGCGUAGGCGGUUUAUUAAGUCAGUGGUGAAAGACGGUCGCUCAACGAUUGCAGUGCCAUUGAUACUGGUAGACUUGAGUGGGAUUGAGGUAGCUGGAAUGGAUAGUGUAGCGGUGAAAUGCAUAGAUAUUAUCCAGAACACCAAUUGCGUAGGCAAGUUACUAAGUCUCAACUGACGCUGAGGCACGAAAGUGUGGGUAUCAAACAGGA
rnacentral:rRNA from 1 species